rnacentral:snRNA from 1 species
AUCUGAGGUCCCUUCAGGUAUAUGAUAAAAUUGGACAGAUAUAGACAAGAUUAGCAUGAUCCCUGUGCAAGGGUGACACGAACGAACGGAGAAAUGGUCCAAAAAAUU